ACUCCUGGAGUAUGUGAAUGUGUACGCUUAAUUUCCAGUUAAGAGGCUCCCUGGAUAGCAGGGCAGGAGUA
rnacentral:tRNA from 1 species